CUCCAAUCCAGGAAUCAGACCGACCCUUCCUCCUGCUGCAGAACAAAGAGGGAGCUCUGUCCAAGCUGGUGCAGCAGACGGGCCGGGCGGAGGCAGCAGCCCUGCUGGAGGCCGCCAGACAGGCAGCACAGAGAGCAGAGCCGUCCUGAUGGGCUGCAGACUCUGAACACAGGUGAGGCGGGAACAAGGCGGAGCCUCCAAACUGAGGGAUUUCACGCUCCAGAAAUGGCUUUCAGUGAAAUGAACUCAUGAUUCAAAUGUUUUUAAUGAAACACAAAGAUGGAAAAAAUUCUUGAAAGCCUAAUUUAUUUUUGAGGUUUUUUAUAAAUAUUUGUAUGAAGAGUUUUUGAGUCUUCAGCUGCUUCAAAAACACAUAAAGUCCAAAAACUGAAA